UACGAAGGGGGCUAGCGUUGCUCGGAAUCACUGGGCGUAAAGGGUGCGUAGGCGGGUCUUAAGUCAGGGGUGAAAUCCUGGAGCUCAACUCCAGAACUGCCUUUGAUACUGGCGAUCUCGAGUCCGGGAGAGGUGAGUGGAACUGCGAGUUGUAGAGGUGAAAUUGUAGAUUAUCGCAAGAACACCAGUGGCGAAGGCGGCUCACUGGCCCGGUACGUGACGCUGAGGUGCGAAAGCGUGGGGAGCAAACAGG
rnacentral:rRNA from 1 species